AAAAGAGAGGUGUGCAGAGGGGAGUAUCCCCUCGCCGCCCUCAGGAGGGUGCUCAGCCUGCGUAGCAGGCGCCGAAGGGAAC
rnacentral:sRNA from 1 species